UACGUAGGGGGCAAGCGUUGUCCGGAUUUAUUGGGCGUAAAGAGCGUGUAGGCGGCCGCACAGGUCCGUUGUGAAAACUGGAGGCUUAACCUUCAGACGUCGAUGGAAACCGUGCGGCUAGAGUCCGGAAGAGGAGAAUGGAAUUCCUGGUGUAGCGGUGAAAUGACGCAGAUAUCAGGAAGAACACCCGUGGCGUAAGGCGGUUCUCUAGUACGGUACUGACGCUGAGACGCGAAAGCGUGGGGAGCGAACAGG
rnacentral:rRNA from 1 species